GACGAACGCUGGCGGCGUGCCUAAUACAUGCAAGUAGAACGCAGUUGCGAACGGGUGAGUAACGCGUAGGUAACUGCCUCAUCGCGGGGGGGAACUAUUGGAAACGAUAGCUAAUACCGCAUACUGUGAGAUGGACCUGCGUUGUAUUAGCUAGGUGGUGAGGUAAAGGCUCACCAAGGCGACGAUACAUAGCCGACCUGAGAGGGGGAUCGGCCAAACUGGGACCGAGACACGGUCCAGAAUCCCUCGGGAGGCAGCAGUAGGGAAUCUUCGGAAAUGGACGGCAGGCUGACCGAGCAACGCCGCGUGAGUGAAGAAGGUGUUCGGAGCGUAAAGCUCUGUUGUGAGAGAAGCGGUAACUACACAGAAAGGGACGGCUAACUACGUGCCAGCAGCCGCGGUAAUAC
rnacentral:rRNA from 1 species